rnacentral:rRNA from 1 species
AGAAGUAAAAGUCGUAACAAGGUUUCCGUAGGUGAACCUGCGGAAGGAUCAUUAAUGAAAAGUUCUUUUGAACCAAUCAUCACCCCAUUGUUUACCUUACCACUGUUGCUUCCACUGGACAGGUCGACCCCCUCAAAAGGGUAGACCCUCUGGCACCCGAUCGGCCCUAAACAGGUCGCCUUGUUGUGUUGGGGAGUGCCGGUGGAUAACCCACACCAAAGAAAAAAAUACUUAAAUAUGAUAAAACUGUCUGAACCAAUUUUUUAUAAAUCAUUAUAAAACUUUCAACAACGGAUCUCUAGGCUCUUGCAUCGAUGAAGAACGCAGUGAAAUGCGAUACGUAAUGUGAAUUGCAGAAUCUCGUGAAUCAUUGAAUCUUUGAACGCACAUUGCGCCUUAUGGUAUUCCAUAAGGCAUGCCUGUCUGAGCGUCAGCUCCCCCCCACUCAAGCUCUUUUGCUUGGAUUAUUUUGGACGAGCAAUCUCUUUUGAUUGCUGCCCAUAAAUUCAUAGGCAGUAUGGUACUCAUUCCAAGCUGAGCGUAAUAAUUAAAAAAAUCACGCCCAUAUUGGUAGGACAUCGUACUUGCCCUUAACCCACAAAUUUUUAUUUUGGGUGACCUCAGAUCAGGUAGGGAUACCCGCUGAACUUAA